CUCCUACGGGGCGCAGCAGUAGGGAAUCUUCCACAAUGGACGAAAGUCUGAUGGAGCAACGCCGCGUGAGUGAAGAAGGGUUUCGGCUCGUAAAGCUCUGUUGGUAGUGAAGAAAGAUAGAGGUAGUAACUGGCCUUUAUUUGACGGUAAUUACUUAGAAAGUCACGGCUAACUACGUGCCAGCAGCCGCGGUAAUACGUAGGUGGCAAGCGUUGUCCGGAUUUAUUGGGCGUAAAGCGAGUGUAGGCGGGUUAAAAAGCUU
rnacentral:rRNA from 1 species